rnacentral:lncRNA from 10 species
GAAUGCAGCGAGUGGAAAGCAAUCUCAAAACGGUCAGGUUCGGUGGCUCAAGCCUGUAAUCCCAGCACUGUGGGAGGCUGAGGUGGGCAGAUCACCUGAAGUCAGGAGCUCAAGACCAGCCUGGCCAACAUGGUGAAACCCCGUCUCUAUUAAAAAUACAAAAAUUAGCCAGGUGUGGUGGCAGGCACCUGUAAUUCCAGCUACUUGGGAGGCUGAGGCAGAAGAGUCACUUGAACCUGGGAGAUGGAGGUUGCAGUGAGCCGAGAUUGUGCCACCACACUCCAGCCUGGGCGACAAGAGCAAAACUCCAUCUCAAAUAAAUAAAUAAAAUAAAAAUCUGUAAUUCUAGUUAGCACAAUCGAUUAAUUCAUUACCCUGGUAAUCAUAGUAUUUUUACUGAUGUUCCUAUAGCCCUGGAAGCUAUAAGUGCUUGAAUGGCUUCUUUGCAAGUCUGAACAGAAUAGGGCAGAUGCGCUUGGUACCCCAGCCCGCCUGUGUUCCCUAAAGCCUGCAGAGUCA